CCCUUAGAUGUUCUGGGCGGCCCGCGCACUACAUUGGCACUGUCAGCAAGGGCCUGAAACUAAAACUUUUGGGUAUUCUGAGAACCGGUGUCGUGACUGGGAUUGACCCUUGCAAUUAUUGGUUAUGAACGAGGAAUUCCUUGUAAUCGCGGUUUAUCAGCCCGCGUUGAAUGCGUCCCUGCCCUUUGUACACACCGCCCGUCGCUCCUACCGAUGAAUCGUCCGGUGAAGUUCAUGGAGUAGUGGUUGUUCCAUCCGCUGUCGAAGUGAAAUAAACCUCAUGAUUUAGAGGAAGGAGAAGUCGUAACA
rnacentral:rRNA from 1 species